rnacentral:rRNA from 1 species
ACGCACGCUGGCGGCAUGCCUCACCCAUGCAAGUCGAACGAGACCUUCGGGUCUAGUGGCGCACGGGUGCGUAACGCGUGGGAACCUGCCCUUAGGUUCGGCAUAACUCCCCGAAAGGGGUGCUAAUACCGGCUAAUGUCUUCGGACCAAAGAUUUAUCGCCUUUGGAUGGGCCCGCGUUGGAUUUGCUAGUUGGUAGGGUAAAAGCCUACCAAGGGGACGAUCCAUAGCUGGUCUGAGAGGAUGAUCAGCCACACUGGGACUGAGACACGGCCCAGACUCCUACGGGAGGCAGCAGUAGGGAAUAUUGGACAAUGGGCGAAAGCCUGAUCCAGCAAUGCCGCGUGAGUGAUGAAGGCCUUAGGGUUGUAAAGCUCUUUUACCCGGGAUGAUAAUGACAGUACCGGGAGAAUAAGCUCCGGCUAACUCCGUG